GACGAACGCUGGCGGCGUGCUUAACACAUGCAAGUCGAACGGAAAGGCCCUGCUUUUGUGGGGUGCUCGAGUGGCGAACGGGUGAGAAACACGUGAGUAACCUGCCCAUGACUUUGGGAUAACUUCAGGAAACUGGGGCUAAUACCGGAUAGGAGCUCCCGCCGCAUGGUGGGGGUUGGAAAGUUUCGGCGGUUGGGGAUGGACUCGCGGCUUAUCAGCUUGUUGGUGGGGUAGUGGCUUACCAAGGCUUUGACGGGUAGCCGGCCUGAGAGGGUGACCGGCCACAUUGGGACUGAGAUACGGCCCAGACUCCUACGGGAGGCAGCAGUGGGGAAUAUUGCACAAUGGGCGGAAGCCUGAUGCAGCAACGCCGCGUGCGGGAUGACGGCCUUCGGGUUGUAAACCGCUUUCGCCUGUGACGAAGCGUGAGUGACGGUAAUGGGUAAAGAAGCACCGGCUAACUACGUG
rnacentral:rRNA from 1 species